rnacentral:rRNA from 1 species
AUACAGAGGGUGCAAGCGUUAAUCGGAUUUACUGGGCGUAAAGCGCGCGUAGGCGGCUUUGUAAGUCGGAUGUGAAAGCCCUGGGCUCAACCUGGGAAUUGCAUUCGAUACUGCAUGGCUAGAGUAUGGUAGAGGGAAGUGGAAUUUCCGGUGUAGCGGUGAAAUGCGUAGAUAUCGGAAGGAACACCGGUGGCGAAGGCGACUUCCUGGGCCAAUACUGACGCUGAGGCGCGAAAGCGUGGGUAGCAAACAGGAUUAGAUACCCCAGUAGUCC